UGGUGAAUAAACGGUCAUAAGUAAAUUGCAUACGUUCAAAUCUAUAUAUUUUAGAAUAAAAGUAAUAAUAGCAUAUAUCUUGUAUAAAUAGAGAUACAAUAACGAUCGACACAAAUGUGUUAAAUUUCCUUUUAUUGUGUUAUAAUUCUGUGUUUUGUCAUUUAAAAGCAUCAUCUGGAUGGUAUAGUUUGUCUUUGGCAUUUAAAACAAACUUGUCAAUACAUUUGACUUUCUCUGUAAAUAUUUAUUUAUAUAUGUAUGUUUAUUAUUUUACAGUGUUUUAACAUGUUUUUGUAUUUUUCAUGUUUAUGAUAUUUUGGAAUGACUGAAGAUUCAGCGCAGAAUUCAAUAAUCCUGUGGAUGGACCGCAGCGAGUCCUUUUGCAGUUAUCCAUCAAAAUGCUAUGCAGACAUAAUGGAAAUGGCAUUUACAUUGUAGAGCUUGGACAAAGUUCACACAGGCUCUGCCCAGGAAUUCAUCAAGGACAUGACUGCUGGGAUUACGCUUGUGGAUGACCAAUCUGAGCACCAUCAGUCUGCAGUGAUGUGGUCCAGCCAUCCAGUGACAUUAAGGAUGUUGAGAAAGAAAUUGAAGAGGGCAUUCUGAUUGUAACUGAAGAACAGCAACGUGAUGUGCUUCCCAAGGAAUAACCAACAUUGGUCUCAUUUGGACAUCCUGUCAUCACUGACAUCUCCCAUGUCCCCAAGGCAUAUGGACUCCUAAUGGGUCUGUAUACAGAGAACAUCCACUACCUCCAGCGCAUUAAAUACACCAUCGAGGCUCUGCAAAAACUUGUGAAGAUCAGCUGCUCCCACCAUGUGCUCGCUACCGCGGCAUGAACUGUAGGUGUGGGGGAGUGAAUGUCCACCGCUCUCUCCACCCUCAACACCACAAAUAAGGUGUCCUUGAGCAAGGCACAACUUCUCCCCGGGUGCUGCAGCAUAAAUGGCUGCCCACUGCUCUGGGUGUGUGUUCACGGUGUGUGUUCAAUGCUGUGUGUGUGCACUUUGGAUGGGUUAAAUGAAGAGCACAAAUGUAUGUCAUGUCACUUUCACUUUUCAGUGUUCAUGAUGUGUCCAUCGGCUCCACCGCACUCUUUCUUAAAAAGUAGUGUUUUUUUUUUUUUUUUUAAGGAAAUUUAGGUUCUUUUGUGCCUUUCACUACAUUUUGGAAUGUACAUUAAAGUUUAUCAUGUCAUGACUUGGAAUAUGCAUGUUCUCAUGUAAACAAAUGUUGUUUCCCCUCUCAUUUUCUUAAGCAGUAUGUACACAUUUUCAGUAUGUAGCAUUAUGAUGGGGGACGAGUUUGGAAACUUUCAAGACCCUUCUGAUGUUAACACCUCUGUCUGGUCAUGUUGUGCUAUGAAAUUUAGAAUCUGACUUUAGAUAUUUGUGCUUCCAUGUGCAUUCAUUCCAUUUAUAUCUUAUUAUACAGAAGUACAGUACAUUCAUUCUUUGUAACUAAUUGUGAUGUUAUAUACAUAUAUCUUGGUUUCUCAUUUUGACCAUGACUUGCAUUAUGGUGGGGGGAGUGCAUGUGAACUUGUGCAGGGUUAAUAUGCAGAGUUCAACCUUCUGAUUUUCAUACUGAGUUAUGAAAUUAAAAGCAAUCCCUGUGGUUUUGAUCUGAUGAAUUGAAAUGCAACUAUUUGUUUCUCAAUCCCAUGCCAAUGUUAUUUAUUAUGCAUCACACUUUCAAGUGUCGGUCCAGAUCUUUAGACGUGUGUUUGUAUUUUGCAUUUUUUGUUUUGUUUAUCAAUUAUCAGGUUGAUGUGUUGAC